UACGAAGGGGGGCUAGCGUUGCUCGGAAUCACUGGGCGUAAAGGGUGCGUAGGCGGGUCUUUUAAGUCAGGGGUGAAAUCCUGGAGCUCAACUCCAGAACUGCCCUUUGAUACUGAGGAUCUUGAGUUCGGGAGAGGUGAGUGGAACUGCGAGUGUAGAGGUGAAAUUCGUAGAUAUUCGCAAGAACACCAGUGGCGAAGGCGGCUCACUGGCCCGAUACUGACGCUGAGGCACGAAAGCGUGGGGAGCAAACAGG
rnacentral:rRNA from 1 species